GAAGGAAGCUGGGGAAGAAUCCUCUCCAUUGUUAAGUGACGGGGAUAGAAGCUGUCCUGCACAGGAAGUCACGAGGGGGGCGUAUCCCACGAGGAAGGCAGGAGGGGGCGUGCCCCUCACCGGAAAUUAGCAGAGGGGCGUGUCCCACACCGGAAGUCAGAAAGCGGAGCCUUUCUUACACCGGAAGUCAAUGAAGCGGGUCUUUCCUACGCUAAAAACCACUGAGUGGAGUAUUUAGUACACAGGAAGUCGGCCAGAGAAACAUUUCUCAUAUUUGAAGGCCGGAAAGAGGGACAUUUCUGACACCGGAAGUCAGUGAGAGGACUCUUUCCCACACAGGAAGUCAGCUAGAGAGCCGUCUCCCCUCUCUGGAGCCGAGAGAGGCCGGUUUCCCCCACCGUAGCCCACCUGGGAGGAAUUUUCCAGAGAUCACUGUCUGAUGACCCUGUCUUGGAAUUGGAGCCAUGCAAGUUACACUGACCACGUUUGGGUUGGGAUAUUGAGGAGGUUAUGGUUAAAAGCAUACGAUGGGAGAUCAUAUUGUACUUGCGAGUGAGACCCGGCUGGAGGAAUGUUUUAAUUCUUCGGAAAUACCAAGUGGUCUCUACAGAACACUGAAGAUUCUGCUCUCAGGGUGUUGAUUGACGUCUGGAAGGCAGAGACUCGUGGAUUAGCAAGCAUGUGUAAGAAAGUGCUCUGGAUGCCACAGGGUGGUAAUUUGUGCAUGGAAAAUGGCUGGGGUGAAGAGGAGACUAGGCUACUCGGGAGGCUGAGGCAUGAGAAUCGCUUGAACCCGGGAGAUGGAGGUUGCACUGAGCCGAGACUCCAGCCUGGGCGACAGAGUGAGACCUCGUCUCAAAAAAAAAAAAAAAGAAAGAAAGAAAGAAAAGGAAAGGAAAGAAAGAAAGAAAGAAAAGACCUUGAAGAAGGAGAGGGAGAGACACAGUCUUGAAACAGAAAGGCGCCGUGGGACUGGGGCAUUGAAGGAUAGGAAGAGGAUCCAAAAUGAGCUCAGAGUUCCGCGCAGCACCCAGAUCAGGAAGACCUUACAGGGUUUCCAGCAUGGAGCGACAGGAUUAACCACGCACUGUGAAAAGAUUGUUAAAUGACUAAGUCCGUGUGUAAGCUACAGGCAACCCGUGUCUCUUUAUUCUGAGACUAAUCAUUCUUAUCCUUCCUGCUUGUCACUUUAAUCUUUCCAACACACAUUCACCUCCUGACGUGGACUGUUGGCUUUCAUCUGCCUAGAGAGCAUUCCCAUUGCCAUUCUCCUAGAAAUAGACCGGGCUCACCUUGGCUGCAGAAAGUGGUUAGUUACGUGGUCCAGGGCUGACCAAUCACAGCAUCCAAUACCUCUGAUGACAGUGAUUGGUCCGUGAGGCAAGCACAUGACCCAAGCAGAGCCAAUGAGAGCCUUAUCCGUGAGAUGGGUAUUUGAACCUGGCAGCACAAACUCUUUUUCCAUUGAGGUUUGUAGGGAGGGUACCAGACACAUUAGAGAAGGUGUGUCUGGAGUAGGAGACAGUUAAGGCCACUGUGAUGAGUUGAGGAAAGAACAGAUAAAGGGAGAAACAUGAAAACUUUUCCUUUGAAUGUUUGAACUAUUCGGUAUCCAAACUAAUGUUGAAAACCAAUUAAUCUCUCCUUUCCCCAUUAAG
rnacentral:lncRNA from 1 species